GAGGAUAUAGCUAAAUUUGUAGAGCACAUGCUUAGCAUGUAGGAGGUCCUAGGUUCAAUUCCAAGUACCUCCU
rnacentral:tRNA from 1 species